AUUUUCCUAAGAUUGCUCGGGGACGCGGGGGUGGAUGGAGAGGAUCAUGAUUAAGAAGGAACACACACACACGCACACGUCUCCCUUCCUCUUCCUCUCACCCCACCCCCUGAGGGGCGGUCCCCUGGUCCCCUAGGGGAGGUUUUCGGGCGAGGACCCAGGGAGGGCGGCGCUCAGGAAGGUGGCGGGCCGACGGAGGAGGACUUGGGUCUGGACGCUGCCAUCGGGUGGCCGGCGCCGCGGCGGCCCCUCCCCCGCUGCCCCUCCCCCGCUGCCCCUCCCCCCGUCUCCUCCGCCCCCCAUCCUCCUCCCGGCCCCGGCAGCCGCGGCUCCUGGAGCAGCCGGCGGAGCGGCUGCGCAGCCUUUGUCUCGGCGCCGCCGGGCGGCGGGGCCCAGCGCAGGCAGGCCACGCGGGGACGGAGGAGGCACAGAGGACAGGCAGUGAUGGAGAAACAGGAGAGGAGCUGGCCAGCGUCACCAUCACCAUCACCACCAUCACCAUCACCAUCAGCAUCAGCAUCACUGACCGUCGCCCAUCCCAGCUCCCCCAGCCUCCCCUCCCCUCUCAUCCCUGUGUAACGCCAACUUUAUCCGAUUAUUUCCUUUUCAUGGGUGGUACUUUGAAAAAGCGACAGAGUGCCUCACAUUAGGAAUAAGUACGUCUGCUGUGGGACGUGCAGCCAUCUUUUGGUUGCCGGUUAGCUGCCUCAGUUUUCCCAUCAGGAAAAGGGGCACAGUGAUGCUACGUUCCUCACAGACUGAGAUGGCUGGGGUGCUUUCAGCUUUUCUAAUCCUGGUACUGAAAGAGUUUGAUAUAAUUAAAAGGUUCUUUUCUCUCACUUGGUAAUAAUGAUGAUGAGGUUAAUGUAAUAUCUUCAGUAAAUUAGGUAAUCAGGAGUUUUAAAAGUUUCUCUCCUUUGAUUUUUGAAUGUCAAAGUACCAGUGGCAAAUAGAGAUAAGAAAAAUGAAACUUUGGUUAAAAUAAAACCAAGAGUAGAAGCAGACACACACCGGAGCCGGUUGUGAGAGCACGGGGGCCUUCUCCUUGUGAAAAAGAAGCCACAGAGACCCAGCUCCGAAGCCACCGGCAUUUUUGCUCCUGGUUAGAAAAGGAACCUUGAACUUCCGUGCUUUAUGUUCUAGUCUAAGAAAGACAACUAGACCAGCCUAAAUUUCUUGAUGUGCUUGGAAAAUUUGCUUCCCCAGAAGUCAGUAUUGCAGAGUUUGUUUUAAAGGGCGUUGAGGGACUCGCCCACACGGUAUGGUUUGGCCAGUGUCCUGGUCUUGCAAUUUCUGAAGAGGGGAAGAGAUCAUAUUAAAAAUGCAGUGAACCUA